GCUCACUUGGUGGAAUUGGUAAACACGGUAGACUCAAAAUCUGCUCCUUAUUAGGUUACUGGUUCAAGUCCAGUAGUGAGCA
rnacentral:tRNA from 1 species